ensembl:lncRNA
GCCUCGAAGUCCAUAGAGUGCGGAGGAUCCUUUUUGGCUUCUGAUAACGUGAAGAUGUUGGAGAAUUUUAUGAAGGAGGUUUAGGGACCUAGGGACCUUGGGGAGACCUGGGUUUAGAACAAAUGGGCCUAGAACCAGACUCCUCUGUGGCCCCGGCGCUCGCAGCACCACUGUGCUCAGUUGGUGGAUAGAAACCUACGUCUUGCACAGCCUUCCUGAUCUGAACCUUGGGUUCUCUCUUCCCAUCACCUAUGUGGCCAGUCACGCGUGGGGCCUUGGUGCUCGCUUGUAGAACACGCAUGUGCUGAUCGCUGUUGCACCAGGAGUCUCUGGUUUGGAGCCCUCAGAAAAGCCAUAGGAAGGUAGCCCCUCUGGACACAGAGCUUCCUUGGCUAUUGUCUCAGCUCAGAGUCUCCCCGUUCCCCACCCUCAUCCCCUGCCAGGCUUAUGGUCCCAUAAAGGACAACGAGCUUCCCUUGCAGCUCAGUCGAUAAAGAAUCUGCCUGCAGUGCAGGAAACCCGGGUUCGAUCCCUGGGUCGGGAAGAUCCCCUGGAGAAGGAAAUGGCAACCCACUCCAGUAUCCUUGCCUGGAAAAUCUCAUGGACAGAGGAGCCUGGUGGGCUGCAGUUCAUGGAGUCGCAAAGAGUCGGGCACGACUGACUGACUAACACUUAAAGGACAAUGAACUCUCAGGGUUGUGCAAUCCAAAAGUCUGAUGCUGAAUCCACCAACUCUAAAAUUCAGCUGGAUUUCUUUUAUUCACUUGCUGAACUUUUUCCAGCAUCCCAAGCAUAAAAUUGGAGCAUAAAAUCGAUAUGAGGUUUUUAUUUAUUGCUUCGUGCAAUUCAGUGAAGACGCUAAAGAAAUGGCUUCUUGGUAACGCUGCUGCCAGCCACAUCUUGAGGUUUUGGUGGCUGAUAUAAGCAUGUCUUUAUGGGACAUGUUGCCUUCUGUCCCCAUAUCUUCCCCGUGAACGUCAAAGGUCCCUAUGAGAUGGUAUCCGAGUGUACCCUGGAUUUUUACAUGCCUGCACAGACCUGCCCAGUAACAUCAUCUGUUACUGUGUACUCCAUGGAAAUCGUGACUGGAUAAAGGUUAAUGCUGUCCCAUAUCCAAGCCUUUUCAGUCUCUAAAGCCUCUCCUAGCUCUCAAACUACAUGACAAUGGUGAUGAGAAUUACGGUGAUAAGACAUCAAAAAAUGCUAACUAUGCACUGAACUCUUCCCAUCUAUUAACCAACAUGAGCUUCCUAAGAGCCAUUUAAGUCCUCUUAUGAUCUCACAGGACCAGGAAGGAUGCUGAGUAGCAAGGUUUAAAUAUCGAUGAAGGUGGAGCAGCAAAGCAGAGGAGGAUUCAAAUCUACCCACUUUGGCUCCAAAGCCUAUGUUCCUAAUCCCUGGGUGGUUCCAUCUCCAGGGACAGCUACAGCUUUCCUACUUCCAUUAUUCAGAAAACGAGUCACCAACUCCCAGAUGGCAGCACAAACCACCCAACCCAGAAGGGACCUCUCACCAUUCUGAAAUCAUGUCAUCAUUUGGUUCUUACUUUUGCACAGUUAAUAAUCUGUAUUUUUAAUUUAUUCACUUUGUAUUAGGAUUAAAACCUUCACAUAAAAUUUGUAUCUUUGCGUGAAAGUGUGCUCCUCAAUUUUUAUCAUGUUAGCAAAAGACCGUAUCCCAAAUUACAUCUUACUAUACUAUCUCCUCUUACUGAGGGUACAUCUUUUUUUAGCUGUAAAUACCUGCUCUUAUAUUUGUACUUAACCGCAUACAUCUUUCCACCUUUCAGUAUCUCCCUAAUUCUAACUUUGUAUGGCUGCAUCAGGGUCCCUCUGACUGUAAUUCUGUUCAGUUAGAUUAUGUCCAUAUCUGUGUCCUUUACCAAGUCCUGUUAACAGUAUCUUCUGCAUGUGACUAAUUCCUUUUUAAAACUUUCAUAUAAACUGUUUGCUUAGAAUAAUUUAUUGGGAAUAUAAUACUGGGUCAAAGGCAAUAGCAUACUUAAUUGCAUUUCCUAAUUGUUCUUUUCGAGGUGCAGUAGAUUCAAGUUAACUCCAAAGGGAUUCUUCUCAUGUGACUGUUGCUGCCUCCUCCCUCUCGUGUGUGCCUUAUGGACCGGGCAUGGUUAUUAGAACCAUUAACUCCUUUCCCAUCUCUGAAGCAGGGAUGCAAUUACAAUGAGACCACAGCCUCAACUUAACUAGCUUAACAAUACAUUAAGAAGGUUCACUUUCACGCAACCAUCUUAAAAAUAAAGUUGUAUUCUUGUACAGUGCUUUCUCUCCGUUGAGUUUAUGAGCUCCUGGGGGCGGAGGGUGGUCAGGUUUUAGAGAUCUGUGAAUCCACCACUCUUCAGCACUCCAUUAACAUCUAUGGAAGGGUUUAGACUUUUUUCUGGACCGUAGCAAUUUCAUCUAGCUUAGAAAGGAAAAUAUUGAAGUCAAGGCAACUAAUUAUUUAAUGUGAGUCUACGGAGUGUCAGGAAAUGCUCAGGGUGCUUACACCUGCAUUAUCUGUCUUCUAAUUUCCUACAAAUACUGAGGCCAGGCAAACAAUUGUGGAUCCUUCAGCAAGUUCGUAGUACAGCCCAGAUCCAUUACAUGAGCCCACAUCUGAACACAAUGAGAGGACUCCCCUUGUCCUCCUUCCCUCUUAAAUCUCCAGGCUCCCAAGGGAGACAGAACAGCUCAGAGGAUGGUGGGAAUCUCAGGAGCAUCCCUUCAGAAACAGCUGCUCAAAGGAAGCGGCCAGAACACUUGGGCUCCCUGACACUAGAGGGCGCUGUGUGCCCAGGAAGCAGCGGCGCUGGGUGUCCCCUCUGGGGUUCUUCCAUCCAGUCUGGCUCUGGUCUUUAGAGCAGAAGGUCUUUCAGGAUUCACUGAAAUAGAUCUUGGCAUAAUUUUAAAAAGGCAACAAAGCCAGCCCACAUCCUUUUCUACUCAAAGAUUGCAUAGCUCGGUGGAAUCCACAUCAUUCUAAACCAUACGGCUCAGCUGCCCCCCGAGGAAGGUUUACCCUGAAGUCCACUUCUGUUUAUAUGGUCGUAUUUCACAAGGUCAAAGACUAGACAUCUGGAGACAGUCUGCUGCAGGCCAGUGCAGCUCCUGGCCCCUGCUUCCGGCCCCUCUGAUGGACUUAGAUGACUCUGGUGACCAGCUUAAUCAUUGUCAUCAUGGGACUGAAAAUUAGUCAUAGAAUAACAACAUAAGGAAAGCAAAGAGAUCCAACCAGUCCAUCCUAAAGGAAAUCAGUCCUGAAUAUUCACUGGAAGGAAUGAUGUUGAAGCUGAAACUCCAAUGCUUUGGCCAUCUGAUGUGAACUGACUCACUGGGAAAGAUUGAAGGCAGGAGGAGAAGGGGAGGACAGAGGAUGAGAUGGUUGGAUGGCAUCACCGAGUCAAUGGACAUGAGUUUGAGUAAACUCUGGGAGUUGGCGAUGGACAGGAAAGCCUGGCGUGCUGCAGUCCGUGGGGUCUCAGAGUUGGACACGCCUGAGCGACUGAACAACAUAAACAAAAGCUAACGUUUAUCUUCCCAACAACCAUAGUGCACACUGAAAGAGGACUUUUCGGCCAGAUACCAAGGAAACACACCUGGGAAAGCCAAGGGGAGAUGGGCAGAUGGAUGAACAAAAGUCGCUCACCGUCACCUUGAGAAAGGCACCCCCGGCAUAUAGUGGGAGGACCAUUCCAUCCGCAGCAAAGAAAUUGAAGGCUUGUGACAACCCUGCAUGAAGCAAGUCUACCAGGACCAUUCUUCCAACAGCGUGUACUGACUUCAUGUCUCUCUUGUCCCAUUUUGGGAAUCCUUGCAGAAUCUCAAGCUUUUUUUUUUUUCUCAAGCUUUUUAAUUAUUGUAUUUGUUCUGGUGAUCUGUGAUCAGUGACCUUUGUUCCUACUGCAACUUGCUGAAGGC